AGGAAGACUUGAAAAAAGCUUUUAGGCUACAAGAUAACCCGCAAUGCAUUAUCUGUUCAUUUACCACUAGAAAACUGGUUUAUAUUUCACUUAAUUUUUGUGACAUAAACGUGCAGUCUGCUACGUUGUAUUGUUUUUUCAGUAAACAGCUGACUGUAUUUGAAAAUGCUGCUAUAUUGCUAACAAAUUCAGAGUCUGUCCCGGGAAUAAUCGGAAUAUAAAUAAAUCAAUUGACUAGUAGACUGUGGGAUUGAAAAAAGCGUGGUCAAGAAUAACCAGGCGUUGGCUGUAAGUGAAAGCACCAGGCGAGCACGCCGCUGCAGAAGGCAGAACGAUUGGGCUGGCCCGGGCAAGGAUAGGGGGGUCAUCUUCUAACCAAGACCAUAGAGGGGAAAGUCCAGUAAAGUCCCCAGCAAAAGCCCCUCAACCGGCCAUCCCCCGCACCCCCCAUCCC